GGCAGAGAGGGGGAGACACAGAACUCAAAGCAGGCUCCGGGCCCCGCACUAUCAGCACAGAGCCCAACUCGGGGCUCCAACUCAUGAACCCCGAGAUCACGACCUGAGCCAAAGUCGGACUCUUGACCGACUGGGCUCCCCGGGCGCCCCAAAGCCAUCGAGAAGUUCUAAUGCCAGGCACUCUAGCUCCGGAAUGUGAGGGCUUCACCAGCUUCCAGCCCCACCUCACAGAGCUCCAAGCCCUGGUGAUGUCAGCGUGGAAUCAGAGGAGCCCGAGAGCUACCACGAAGACGAAAACAUUGGUUUAUGACUGCUCUCCGGGGCAGAAUCCGUCCUCCCCAAAGCAUGUGACACACACCUCCAUCAGGGCAUCUACAACAUCUGUGCUGACGUUCCCGGGUCUCCAGGAGGAACGACUUGUGCACCAGACCGCGAGUUAGUCGUGAAACUUGAUGCUGUUUUCCUCAUUUCACAGAUGAAAACACUGAGGACUGGCAGGGAGAUAGACUGCUUAAGUCACGAGACCCUGGAGCUGGAAGGGACCAGAUGACCAGCUCAACCUCUUCCUCUUUCUGAGGCCCGGGAAGCACGAACUCCACUGAGCUCAGUAGAACCUGGGCUGGAGCUCUCUCAGUCUACUCGGCUCUGCCUCCUUACCUCCACAUUCCCGACUCGGAAGCCCACGGCUUGAGAAAGUGCCUCAAAGACCCUCCUUCUCUUAAAAAAACACACACACACACAAAAAACCAAAACCACAACCCCAUCCGUUAGCGAAGAAGAAUUAUUGCCAAACAAAUAAAAAGAUCCUAAACCUCACUCGUAAUUUUAAAAAAUGCAAAUCAAAACAAUGAGAUGCUAGUUUUCAUCUAACAGACUGGCGAGGCUGAGUUUGAGAAUGCCCGUCAUCGGUGAUUCAGCCUGUCCCGAUAACCCGUUGGUUGGAGUCUAAAUGGGGCAACCUUCUGGGAAACGCUUUGGGAAGAUCCGUAAAGAUUG